ACUCAAAUGAAUUGACGGGGACCCGCACAAGCAGCGGAGCGUGUGGUUUAAUUCGAAGCAACGCGAAGAACCUUACCAGGAUUUGACAUGCAGUCGCACCAGCCAGAGAUGGCUGUACCCGCAAGGGACGGCUGCACAGGUGCUGCAUGGCUGUCGUCAGCUCGUGUCGUGAGAUGUUGGGUUCAGUCCCAUAACGAGCGCAACCCUUGUCGUCGGUUAUAGGUUUCCGACGAGACUGCCGCCAAACAGCGGAGGAAGGUGGGGAUGACGUCAAGUCAGCACGGCCCUUACAUCCUGGGCGACACACACGCUACAAUGGCCGGUACAACGAGUCGCGAACCCGCGAGGGGGAGCCAAUCUCAGCAAAACCGGUCCCAGUUCGGAUUGUAGGCUGCAACCCGCCUGCAUGAAGCUGGAGUUGCUAGUAACCGUGGGUCAGCACACCACGGUGAAUACGUUCCCGGGUCUUGCACACACCGCCCGU
rnacentral:rRNA from 1 species